rnacentral:lncRNA from 1 species
UCACAGCAUCCCUGAGACACAGCUAGGGGAGCCAUUGCUCUGCCCACUGAAUGGAAGGGGAAACUGAAGUGCAGCCUCCUGAACUGAUUCUCCAAAGAUUACAUAACUGAUCAGUGGGAGAAUGGAACCACCCCUCCUCAGUAUAAGAAGCAUGCUGUGAUAUUGAGUCAAUUGGUUGCCCAAUCACAGACAUCUUUCACUGACAGAGUAACAGCAAUGCUCAUUUUCAAAUCAUAUGAGAAGGCCUUGCUAACUGAUGGUCGAUGCUCACAGGUGUGUGGGCUUUGAGCAGUCGCUACACCUUCCCUCUUCAGGCAUGAUGAGAGGAUUCCUGCAGCGUUUUGCAAGAGGGGUUGUGAGGAUGCUUCUGGAUUCCAAG